CCUACGGGCGGCAGCAGUGAGGAAUAUUGGUCAAUGGCCGGAAGGCUGAACCAGCCAAGCCGCGUGAAGGACGAAGGUGCCAAGCAUUGUAAACUUCUUUUGUCAAGGGACAAAAUAAGGCUCGAGAGCCUGACCGAGGGUACUUGAAGAAAAAGCAUCGGCUAACUCCGUGCAAGCAGCCGCGGUAAUACGGAGGAUGCGAGCGUUAUCCGGAUUGAUUGGGUUCAAAGGGUGCGUAGGCGGACUUUUAAGUCAGCGGUAAAAGCCCGGGGCCCAACCCCGGCGAGCCGUUGAAACUGGCUGUCUUGAGCUGUCGCGUGGUAGUCGGAAUGCGCAUUUUAGCCGUGA
rnacentral:rRNA from 1 species